UUCCAUCGCUAAGUCAAGGCUCCUUUCUUGCUUUUUUUGCAACGUCUCCAUGAAAGACGCCUGUUACAGCUAUGGUACAUUAAGCCGCGCUCGCCACCUUGGUGGUUUUCGGCAUGGCGUCCGUCUUGGAAGCCUUGUCACCAGAGCGCAUGGCGUGUUUCGUUUGAGUUGAGGUCUGCUUGGGCCGAUUUUCUUCUGGCCCCUCGAGUCAUAGCACACUUCUUAGUAAUGUCUCACACAUAC
rnacentral:snoRNA from 1 species